rnacentral:rRNA from 1 species
GACGAACGCUGGCGGCGUGCUUAACACAUGCAAGUCGAACGGAAAGGCCCUGCUUUUGUGGGGUGCUCGAGUGGCGAACGGGUGAGUAACACGUGAGUAACCUGCCCUUGACUUUGGGAUAACUUCAGGAAACUGGGGCUAAUACCGGAUAGGAGCUCCUGCCGCAUGGUGGGGGUUGGAAAGUUUCGGCGGUUGGGGAUGGACUCGCGGCUUAUCAGCUUGUUGGUGGGGUAGUGGCUUACCAAGGCUUUGACGGGUAGCCGGCCUGAGAGGGUGACCGGCGACAAUGGGACUGAGAUACGGCCCAGACUCCUACGGGAGGCAGCAGUGGGGAGUAUGGCACAGUGGGCGGAAGCCUGAUGCAGCAACGCCGCGUGCGGGAUGACGGCCUUCGGGUUGUAAACCGCUUUCGCCUGUGACGAAGCGUGAGUGACGGUAAUGGGUAAAGAAGCACCGGCUAACUACGUG